rnacentral:rRNA from 1 species
CAUGCAGUCGAGCGGAAGGCCCUUCGGGGUACUCGAGCGGCGAACGGGUGAGUAACACGUGAGUAACCUGCCCCUGACUCUGGGAUAAGCCUGGGAAACCGGGUCUAAUACCGGAUACGACCAUUUCUCGCAUGUGAUGGUGGUGGAAAGUUUUUUCGGUUGGGGAUGGGCUCGCGGCCUAUCAGCUUGUUGGUGGGGUGAUGGCCUACCAAGGCGACGACGGGUAGCCGGCCUGAGAGGGCGACCGGCCACACUGGGACUGAGACACGGCCCAGACUCCUACGGGAGGCAGCAGUGGGGAAUAUUGCGCAAUGGGCGGAAGCCUGACGCAGCGACGCCGCGUGGGGGAUGACGGCCUUCGGGUUGUAAACCUCUUUCAGCAGGGACGAAGUUGACGUGUACCUGUAGAAGAAGCGCCGGCUAACUACGUGCCAGCAGCCGCGGUAAUACGUAGGGCGCGAGCGUUGUCCGGAAUUAUUGGGCGUAAAGAGCUCGUAGGUGGCUUGUCGCGUCUGCCGUGAAAGCCCGUGGCUUAACUACGGGUCUGCGGUGGAUACGGGCAGGCUAGAGGCUGGUAGGGGCAAGCGGAAUUCCUGGUGUAGCGGUGAAAUGCGCAGAUAUCAGGAGGAACACCGGUGGCGAAGGCGGCUUGCUGGGCCAGUUCUGACGCUGAGGAGCGAAAGCGUGGGGAGCGAACAGGAUUAGAUACCCUGGUAGUCCACGCUGUAAACGUUGGGCGCUAGGUGUGGGGGUCUUCCACGAUCUCUGUGCCGUAGCUAACGCAUUAAGCGCCCCGCCUGGGGAGUACGGCCGCAAGGCUAAAACUCAAAGGAAUUGACGGGGGGCCCGCACAAGCGGCGGAGCAUGUUGCUUAAUUCGACGCAACGCGAAGAACC